CGGGCGGCCGUGACCCUGCUGGAGUCCGGGGGGGACCUCCAGCCCCCCAGGGGGUCCCUGCGCCUCCUCUGCCGAGGGGAUGGAUUCACCUUCGGGAAUUUCGACAUGUUCUGGGUGCGCCAGAGACCCGGGAAGGCGCUGGAAUUCAUCGCAGGGAUCUGGAGCAAUGGUUGGAGCACCUGGUACGCGCCGUCGGUUCAGGGCCGGUUCACCAUCGCCAGGGACAACGGGCAGAGCUCGGUGACGCUGAGCAUGAACAACCUCCAGGACGAGGAUUCCGGGGUUUAUUUCUGUGCCAAAUGUUACACCAGUGGUUGUUUUGGCCUUUAUGGUUGGGCUGCUGCUGCUGUUGGUUUUGGUGACGAUGUCGCUGAUGGCCACAUUCCCCAUGCCGGAUCCCCAAAUGUCCAAGGGGAAAACCUGGGCUUUGGGGUGAAUCCUGGGGUGUAG